CUGUGUGCAAAUCGAGUCGACAAAAGGGAGGGCUUUAAAUAUGUCUUGUCCGCAGGAACAAUGGCUCUCGAUCCUGUGGCUGAGCUGAUGCUGGGGGGCCCUAUGAUGCAGAGGAGAAUUCGAAGACGUGGGUGGAUACUUGUUAUGAAAUGACGUGGUGAAAACCUGAGGGUCAAUCUCCCUAGAAUCCUGGAGCUUGAUGAAUAUUAAUGAAGGUCUGGCUGUCAUUGGCUGGCGGAUUCAUUUUCAAGGAAGAAUUUGCCACCUACCCAUUAAAGGAGAUCACUGCUAUGAAGUCGCUGUCGCCAUUUCUGGCUAGUACCACAAGAUACUUGUCUUGUAUGAAAAACUGGUGAUCAGGAAAAGCUCUACAUUUUACAGACUUGGAAUGAAAUUGACGACUUAUUGGUUAACUGUUAAGAUUAUGGACUAGGAUCAAAUCCAGAUUAACAUUAGGUUCUAGCCUCCUAUACUAUAUUGUCACAGUGCCUUGCUGUCAAGUAAUAGGUUGCUUCCUGAAUCUGCUUAUAUGUCAAGUGCAAAAAUAUCUUUUCCAUCUAGGAGACUUAUGAACAUUAUUGCAUAAAUUUCUUCCCCUUUUGUCAGCUUUUUGUAAAAAAUGCAUAAUGGGAAUUAAACCUGAAUAGAAAAUUAAAUGCAUGCAAUUGUGAAAUUGAAAGUAUGGGUGGGACAAACAAGGGUUGGGGGUGUGACCUAUAAAAUAAAACUGGGUUAAUUAAAAAUACUGCACAAAUUGAACUUAAUGCAAACAUUAAAUAACGUCAGAAGCUUGGGUUCCGCGUGUCAUGGAUUUUCCAAAGUAUUAAGGCACUACAACACUCUUAGAAAGGCUUAUGAACACAUGAAAACAAUUAGUGUGAUCAUAGAUACAGCAUUUAGUGUUAUGGUUUAUUAUGCACAUUAUAGUUACAGUGAACUCUACAGAACAGUAACCAUAAAAGCUUUAGCAAAUACUUUAAUAAAGCUUUGCAUAGAUCAAUGGAAAUCUAAGGACAGUUAGGCUGAAACAUUAGAGGAAACCAGCCAUAGGGAUAGGUGAUUUCAAAUUCAAAGCUUAGUAUGGCAGACCAAAGGCAGAAAUCAAAAAUUGUCAUUUCAGUGAGAUUUGUAGGUGCCCUGCUACAAAAAUAUAUAGGGUAGGGUGUGGAACCUUCAAGGAAAUUUUGAUGAAAAAGCUUUCAUGACUAAAGGUAUAUAGAGCAGUGAUAGAUAUAAUCUUGGCUACUAUGUUUACAUGUCUAUAAAGAAUCAGUUUAGUGACUGAAACUAGUGAACUUGCAUGCUGGGGCAGGUGAAUUUCCCCCAUGAAAUGUUGGCAAUGCAGUCUUAAUCCUCAAUCCAUGACCCCCAUCACUUUUCAUAUUAAUUUGGAGCUUUCCAAUAUACUGGCUUCGGUCACUAAGAACCUGGGUUCCUUUACUACUGGUACUUGUGCAUUGUUUAAUGAUUGGUAAAAGACUAGUCUUGCAUAAAAUUUGGGAGGAACUUUUUACCCUUUUCUCAAAGAUGGCAAACUACAAAACAAGGCAGGAUUGUGAAAUAGGCAGUUUAUUUUGGAGUCCUCUGACCUGCAUUUCCUAAUUUGGGUUUUUUUUUUUUGUUUUUUUUUUUGUUUUUUGUUAGCUGAAAUUGAGCAAAUUUUAAGUCCAUAUCAGCUCAGAUAUGAAAAUGAAUUUAGCUGAAAUGUUGAUCAAAGGAUGUCUCAGAACACAACUGAGACAAGUUGAACUUGAUAUUAUCAAUUGGAUAGAUGUAAGUGGGACAAGCAGGGAAAGGGGAGACUUGAAUGACUCAGUAAGGUUAGGAACUAAGGGAGUUAGGGCUGUAAAAAUGUAUUGGGAUUAUUUGAAACCUCUUAAUACAUUUUUCUUUUGGGAGGCACAUAAUGAAAAAGUCAGUUCUGAUAACUGCAGGGACCACACCUAAGUAAAUUAACAUUCUGAAACUAGUGAUUUUUGUGGAAUUAAACCUAAAAGGUCAGGAUUUAACAUGUUUGCAGUAUGAUUACUAGCUGAUUUCAAACCUUGUAGUUCAUAGUAGGAUAACAUUUUUAAUUCCCAGAGCAGAUAUCUUGCAGUUAGAUUCCACUAACCUGAUCAAGGCUACCUAUAAGGACUGGGAACAUUAAAUUGUUUGGCAGAUGAAGGGAUUUAACUUCCAGAACCUGACUGGACUCAAUGGAGACAGAAAGCCUUAGACCUAAAAAUGUGACUAUAAUAGACGUUUCAGAUUUGAAAGGCAAUAUAUGAUUUUGGGUUUAGUGAGUAACCAAUAGAGCUUUUCUCUGUGCCAUACACCAUGCUUCUAGGCUAUGUUAAAAUACAGUAGUUUCAAACCUAUAGUUUGAUGCACUGUGAUUUAGAUGCAUCCCCAGAAAUCCAGUCAGCUGAAUUGAUUGUGCACUUGGUAAUUGUUGCUGUUUGCCCAGUCUUUGGAACAGCUUUUAGUGCUCAAGGUUUUUAUGUCAGUUCCCCAGUUGGAGCCUUUAUUUGAGUUCCAGCCCACUAUGACAGUUUUUUAUAUCUUUUAUUAGUACCUUCUCCCUGGUGAUGAGACCAUCCUUCCCAUCUUUCCUUCUAAAACCUUGGUUCCCAAUCUAAAUAGGGAGUUUUUUUUUUUAAUAUUUAUCAUGCAUACAAAACCAGGGUACA